rnacentral:rRNA from 1 species
AUUGAACGCUGGCGGCAUGCUUUACACAUGCAAGUCGAACGGCAGCGCGGGCUUCGGCCUGGCGGCGAGUGGCGAACGGGUGAGUAAUGCAUCGGAACGUGCCCAGUAGUGGGGGAUAGCCCGGCGAAAGCCGGAUUAAUACCGCAUACGACCUGAGGGUGAAAGCGGGGGACCGAAAGACCUCGCGCUAUUGGAGCGUCCGAUGUCGGAUUAGCUAGGUGGUGGGGUAAAGGCUUACCAAGGCGACGAUCCGUAGCUGGUCUGAGAGGACGACCAGCCACACUAGAACUGAGACACGGCCCAGACUCCUACGGGAGGCAGCAGUGGGGAAUUUUGGACAAUGGGGGCAACCCUGAUCCAGCCAUGCCGAGUGCGGGAAGAAGGCCUUCGGGUUUUAAACCGCUUUUGUUCGGGAAGAAAGCCUCUGGGCUAAUACCCCGGGGGGAUGACGGUACCGGAAGAAUAAGCACCGGCUAACUACGUG